ACUCUCUCUCUGUCUCUCUCUAUCGUUCUUUGUGCCUUGUUUUGGUUUUGCGAUUGGGUUUUUUGUUAACGAACGAAGUUUUGUGAAAAAAUGGGUGUUGGAAUUACAGAGUUUUUAUGGAAGAAUGAGCUAGCAGCUGAACAUCCUCAGGUGAUACCAAUCUCAGUCUUCAUAGCUAUUCUCUGUCUCUGUUUAGUUAUCGGCCACUUGCUUGAAGAGAAUCGAUGGGUCAAUGAAUCCAUUACCGCCAUUUUAGUCGGAGCAGUAUCAGGAACAGUGAUUUUGCUUAUUAGUAAAGGAAAAAGUUCUCACAUUUUGGUGUUUGAUGAAGAACUCUUCUUCAUUUACCUUCUUCCUCCUAUUAUUUUCAAUGCUGGAUUCCAAGUCAAGAAAAAGAAGUUUUUUCACAACUUUUUAACCAUCAUGUCCUUUGGGGUGAUUGGUGUUUUCAUCUCUACUGUCAUUAUUUCCUUUGGGACUUGGUGGCUGUUUCCCAAGUUGGGAUUUAAGGGGUUGAGUGCUAGAGACUAUCUAGCCAUUGGAACGAUCUUCUCGUCCACUGAUACUGUUUGCACUCUACAGAUUCUUCAUCAAGAUGAAACACCAUUGCUAUACAGUUUAGUCUUUGGAGAAGGAGUGGUGAAUGAUGCAACUUCAGUUGUACUGUUCAAUGCCGUGCAAAAGAUUCACUUUGAAAGCCUCAACGGUUGGACUGCUCUGCAAGUGUUUGGAAACUUUUUGUACCUCUUCUCCACUAGCACAAUUCUCGGAAUUGCUGUGGGGCUAAUAACAGCUUUUGUCCUUAAAACCUUGUAUUUUGGAAGACAUUCAACAACACGCGAACUGGCCAUCAUGGUUCUAAUGGCUUACCUUUCAUAUAUGUUGGCUGAGCUCUUCUCAUUAAGCGGAAUUCUCACUGUUUUCUUCUGUGGUGUUUUAAUGUCGCAUUAUGCAUCAUAUAAUGUGACAGAGAGUUCAAGAAUCACUUCCAGGCAUGUUUUUGCGAUGAUGUCCUUUAUUGCGGAGACAUUCAUAUUUUUGUAUGUUGGAACAGAUGCUCUUGAUGUUACAAAGUGGAAGACAAGCAGCUUAAGUGUUGGGGGUACUCUGGGUGUCUCUAGUGUCAUAACCGCAUUCGUAUUACUUGGACGAGCAGCAUUUGUGUUCCCGCUCUCAGUCUUAACAAAUUUCAUGAAUAGACACACUGAAAGAAACGAGUCUAUCACAUUUAAGCACCAGGUGAUCAUUUGGUGGGCGGGGCUUAUGCGGGGUGCUGUCUCAAUCGCUCUGGCUUUCAAGCAGUUCACAUACUCCGGAGUUACGUUGGAUCCUGUGAAUGCUGCCAUGGUCACCAACACCACUAUUGUUGUCCUCUUUACCACACUGGUCUUUGGUUUCCUCACAAAGCCACUUGUGAACUAUCUGCUUCCUCAUGAUGCAAGUCACAACAACACGGGAAAUAGAGGUAAACGCACUGAGCCAGGUUCCCCGAAGGAAGAUGCGACACUUCCUCUUCUUUCGUUUGACGAGUCCGCUUCCACAAACUUCAAUAGAGCUAAAGAUAGUAUCUCCCUUCUGAUGGAACAACCUGUCUACACCAUCCACCGCUACUGGAGAAAGUUCGAUGACAAAUACAUGAGGCCUAUCUUCGGUGGACCUCGUCGAGAAAACCAACCAGAAUGCUAGAUCAGUUGCAGGACAAGAUCAAGCAAACUCAGACGGUCUAUCUCCUACUCAGUUCUUUGAAGCUGCGUUUACAGAAAGAAGAACAAAAUAAACGGAUUGUUGUAACGCCACAUUUGCUCAGAAGAUCCUGUACUUUAGACGGGUAUACCCCUAAAACGGGGAGGUAAGACUUGGAUCUGCA